rnacentral:lncRNA from 1 species
UGCAGUGGCGUGCGCCUGUAAUCCUGCUACUGGGAGGCUGAGGCUAGCGGAUCGCUUGAGUCCAGGAGUUCUGGUCUAUCCUGCGCUAUGUCGAUCGGGUGUCCGCACUAAGUUUGGUAUCAAUAUGGUGGGGCCGAGGGAGCUCAGCCUCACCAGGUUGUCUAAGGAGGGGUGACCCGGCCCAGGUCGGAAACGGAGCAGGUCAAAACCCCCGUGCCGAUCAGUAGUGGGAUCGCGCCCGUGAAUAGCCGGGGUAGGGCAGCCUGGCCAACACAGCGAGACGCAGUCUUUUUACUUAUUAUUUAAAUUACUAAUAAUAGUAUAUUUAGCUCAGUCUUUUUAUUAUUAUUACUAUCAGCCUGACCAACACACACAGUCUUUUUAUUUACUAUUAUAACUACUAUUAAUAAUAGUAGCAUUAGCCUGCCCAACAGUCUAUUUAUUAUUCAUUAAUACAUUUGAAUUAUUAUUAUUAUUAUUAUUAUUAUUAUUAUUAUUAUUAUCAUCCUGACCAACACAGACACACACACACUGUCUUUUUAUUAUGGUUAUAAUUAAUCUCUUAAAUAAAUAUUUUAUCAUUAUUUAUGAGUUAGACAUUAAUCACCAUCUGCGUUAUAAUGAUUAUAAUUAUCUAUUAUUUGUGUUUUAUAUAUAUUUUGAAUAAAUAUGUGAAAUUAUUUAUUCCUCUUGACUGUCAUUUAUAUAUCUAGACAUAAGGGUGAUGUGGACUGUUAAUGAUCACAUUCUUCUCUGAUUGUGAUUCAUAUCAUUAGCUGUAUGGUAAUGUUAACACAAUUAUUAUUAUUAUUAUUAUUAUUAUUAUUUUUAUUAUCCUCAUUAAAACCUCUGAGUAACCUUGAUAGGGUAACCUGGCUCACACAAUUAUUAACAAUACAUUAUUAUUAUUAACCCAUGGCAAGCAGGGUAGGGUUGCACAAAUUACACAGUGCAUUUAUUAUGGAUAUUAUUAUUAUUAAAAAUAAUAAUCAGACUUUAUUUAUUACUAUUAAUUGUGUCAUUAACCUGCGAAUAGCCCAAGUAGUGCACACUGUCUUAUUAUAAUUAUUGUUGUUAUUAUUAUUAUUAACUAGACUGUAAGCUUGUUUGAGCAGGGUCCUCAUUUACCUAUUGUCCCUGUAAUAUUUUGUAAUGGUCUCAUUUAUUGUUAAACUUCCCCUUUUAUAAUAUUGUAAAGCCCUGCGUAAUAUGUUGGUGCUAUAAAAAUGCCACAAAUAAUAAUACAUAUUCAUUAGCCAUGCCAGGAGAGCCCUGCCAAAUCAGAGAGACUUAUCCUUUCGGUCAAUAAAUUAAUACUCCAAGAACCAUAACCACUGCAGCACAAUCUAACAGUUUGACUUCUUACUUUGAGUCCACCGGUGGCAGUCCCUGUCUCUAUGAUAGCCAGAAGCUCUCCUGAGCUAUGCCAAACAUGGCAGGGCUUAGCUUACGUGAGCUAAUGUAUGUUCCUGCUAAGGAGCUUUUGUUUCUGCAGUGUUAGUUGUGGAGGUGGGGAGCAGCGCCCAGUGGUCCACAGGUGAUAAAUCAAACUGUUCAAAAAUGGUCUGACUACUUACAAUAGGUGGCUCCUGGAGAACUCCUGACACCAUAACCACGAUAGUUCUCUGUAUCCUUCCAUGCAGUUGCUGUGUUAAGCAUUCUUUAUUUUAUAUUUACAUGUAAAUGUUUAUUUAAGGAUAUGCACCAAACAGAUGGUGAACAGUACACAAUGAAAUAUAAAAAAUAAAAUGUACAACUAAAACCAGCUCAAUUAGCAACAUAUGAAUAAACCACUCCCCCUUACAUUCAUCUCCGAAUGAAGCAGCCCACGUGUUCACAAUCAAUGAAAAUCAAUCAAUAAUGUACAGAGUGCCAUAAUUUGGUACCAGAAUUUAAACCUAAUUCUACUCCAAUAAUAAAUAGAUAAUAUCUAUACCAAAAUGUAAUGAAUUAAAUGACACUAAAACUAUUUAAAAAAAAAUAAAAAUAAACAUGUGGAUGAAAGUGGUUUUGGUUAUGAAUACAUGCAGUAUUAAAUACUCUAAUAUCUUAGUGCAACAUGGAGAAAAACUGAAUUUUUUCAUGCGUAAAAAGGAACAGACAAGAUAGUAUAAUGCUGUGUAUUGCAUAGAUAAAAUUACAAACAUGAUUAAAAAGGCUUACAUUAGAUUCAAUGGGACCCUUUGAAGGUUUUAAAUGUGCACACAUGCUCAAAAGUAUAAUCACCCUUAUUAUCAUUAAAGUAGCCGCCGCUAUGCCACUCCCCAUGAUCAACUGUGCUCUGUACCACGCUGCUUGUUUUCGGGUUGUGACGUAUCUCUCAGCUCUGUGACAGUUUGACACUUAUCACAAAUCCCGGUUAAAGCAUUAAAUUUUUGGUGUUUUUCACGCGUGUUUUUUUUGGGGGGAACUCACAAAUUACGUGCCCCAUUAUUAUAAACACGUGCAAUAUUUGUAUACCUACUGUUAUCAAGUACAGUACAUGUAUAACUUUUCCCCUAAUCCUUCCCUUAAUCUUGCCCUCAAUCCAACCACUAAUUCUACCGAUAAUCCAUCCCAUAACCCUACCCAUUAUCCUACUUAAAAUCCAACUCCUAAACCUGCCCCUAAUCCCACCGUUAGUCCUAGCUCUUACCUCAGCAGAGGGAUUCCCCAGCUCUCGCAGUACAGAGCGCUCUGUGAGCACUCAGUACUGUGUGAUUGCAGCAUGAGUGGGAGAUCUCCCUUUCAUGCUGCAGCUCCUAGAAGUGUGAUCAACGCUGGGCAGCUGGCAAAAUCCAGCACUGAUCACUGGGCAGAAGGGCAUGCACAGAAAAAAAAACUAUAUAUGACAGAAUAUGUAACAAGGUGCAUAUGAAAUAUAUAUUGAAUUACUGGCAUAUCCAUGAGAAUGCAAUAAAGCACAAAGAUAAAGACCCCAUGAUUUCUGCUGUUAUAUUUGGCAUAUAUAUAUACCUACACACAAAAAAAUUGAGAAACCAAUCUGUAGUUAUUUGCAUAAGCUGGAAUCCAGACGCACCCUUCAUCUUUCCAGCCUUGUUUUUAAGAGCUUCUCUGGGAAACUCCCACCCUACCUGAACAAAAUGCUUUCCUUAGCUGUUCCCACUUUCUAUAAGCUCCGAUCCAGUACAAGCACUUUACUUAGUCUACCUCAAUACAAAAAGAAAGCGGCCCGAUCCUCCUUCUCCUACAGAGCGCCGCAAUUGUGGAACGACCUCCGCACAAUUUAAAAUCUUCCCUAAGCCUAAAGUCAUUUAAGAGAUCCCUCUCUACAUACCUCAAAACAGAAUGCACGUGUCAUGGUUGAUUAUAUAUUUCCUGCCUGUUCUAUGUUAAAUUUUGUAUAUAUUGUGUAUUAAUAUUGUUUUUGUAUUUUGUUGUACCUAAUGUAACAAUGCAAUGAUUUGUGGACCCAGGACAUACUUGAAAACGAGAGAAAUCUCAAUGUAUCUUUCCUGGUAAAAUAUUUUAUAAAUAAAUAAAAUAUUUUAUAAAUAAAAUAAAUAAGCAAUAAAUACAUAUGUAUGUAACUGAUCUAUACAUACAUACACAACAAGCACUGUUAAAGUAAGAUUUCGGUGGGAAAAGCAAGUCUUGUGGCUUGAUUGGUGUGUGUAUUUGUAUUUAGCAAUGUAUUAAAGGACCACUCUAGGCACCCAGACCACUUCAGCUUAAUGAAGAGGUCUGGGUGCCAGGUCCAACUAGGGUUAACCCAUUUUUUUAUAAACAUAGCAGUUUCAGAGAAACUGCUAUGUUUAUAAAUGGGUUAAUCCAGCCCUCAAUUCCUCUAGUGGCUGUCUCAUUGACAGCCGCUAGAGGCGCUUGCGUGAUUCUCACUGUGAAAAUCACAGUGACAGCACGCAAGCGUCCAUAGGAAAGCAUUGAUAAUGCUUUCCUAUGCGACUGGCUGAAUGCGCGCGCAGCUCUUGCCGCGCGUGCGCAUUCAGCCGACGGGGAGGAACGGAGGAGGAUCGGAGGCAGAGAGCUCCCAGCCCAGCGCUGGAAAAAGGUAAGUUUUACCCCUUUUCCCCUUUCCAGAGCCGGGCGGGAGGGGGACCCUGAGGGUGUGGGCACUCUCAGGGCACUAUAGUGCCAGGAAAACGAGUAUGUUUUCCUGGCACUAUAGUGGUCCUUUAACUAUCCACUUACUUCAGGUGGAAGGGGUUUUCAUCCAAACUUUUUUCCCCACCUCAACUGUUUUGAUAUGUACUUUUCAAGUAACGCCAAGCUUCCAUAACAAGCCAGUAACCAACCUCAUGCUGAUGAGUUGCAUUAACAACGAAACAGCUGUCCAUGAGUGGUUCACUGGCUUUGCUCCUCUUCCUGAGUUGUGUCAGUCUUAUGGCUUGACCGGUGUGUGUAUUUGCAUUUAGCAAUGUAUUAACUAUAUAUUAUAUAUAUAUAUAUAUAUAUAUAUAUAUAUAUAGAGAGAGAGAGCACAGCACCCCUACCCCCCACACAAAGCACCCCUACCCCCACACAGCACAGCACCCCUACCCCUUACACACAGCAUCCAUCACACAGACAGACACAGCACCCCUCAGACAGACAGACACAGCACCCCUCAGACACAGCACUCCACACACACUUCACACCCUUACACACAAACACAUACACUGCACCUGUAUAUGAGCCACUUGUAUUCAGCAGACUGUGUGUGUAUAUUCAGAGAACUGUGUGUGUGUAUUCAGCAGACUGUGAGUGUGUACUCGGCCGUCUGUGUGUGUACUCAGCAGUCUGUGUGUAUGUAUUCAGCAGACUGUGUGUAUGUAUUCAGCAGUGUGUGUGUGUGUGUAUUCAGCAGUCUGUAUGUGUAUUCAGCAAUGUGUGUAUUCGAUGGACUGUGUUUGUAUUUAGCAGUCGGUGUGUGUAUGUAUUAAGCAGUCGGUGUAUGAAUGUGUUCAGCAGUCUGUGUGUGUGUGUAUUUAGCAGUCUGUGUGUGUGUCCAUGUGUGUAUGUAUUAAGCAGUCGGUGUGUGAAUGUGUUCAGCAGUCUGAGUAUGUAUUGCAUUUGUUGGAGAUACUAAUAAAUAUAAGCUUAAUUUUAUCUAUUGAUAUCAUUAUUUAACAUUUGUAUUAUUGAACUCUCUGUUGUGUUCUUCUUUUAAAACAAAAGUUGUUAACUAGUUCGGACAACUGUACGAGUUGUUUUUUCUAAACUUAAACCUCAGUAUUCAGGUUUAAUUGCCGUGUUGGCACUUUGAGGAAAAAAAGGUUGGCAUUUAUUGCGGUUUGGGCACUCGGACUCAAAAAGGUUCGCCAUCACUGUCCUAGAUCCUUUUUCCUGCAAUGCUCUGUAUUUCUAGCAGUAUUAUAUCUUUGUUAUUGUAUCUCUGUUAUGUCUUUUACUAUUUCUAUACUAUCUACACUAUACUAUAAAAUGACUUUUCUUUUAGGAUGCCUUUACUAACCUCUGACAUCUGCUGGGGAAAUGGUGAUACUGACUUUAUUUCUUUGCACUCAGAUGAGAUGACUAUGUCUCCUAGUCCAUGUUGUGGAUAAUAUAUAUGAGCCACUUGGCCAUGUACUGUAUUAUCCUUCUGUCCUGUAUACUUUGCUUCAGACAUUACAGCACACGAUGCAAAAUAUAUAUAUUUUUUCUUUUCUUUUCUUACAGCCUGUACAUUAGCUCUUAUAUUGCUAUCUGGACCAUAUCUGCAUAAUGUCCAAAAGUGAAAAGGUGCACCCAUUUAUUUUGAUGACUUUGACCAUACUGAAUGGUCAACUUCCAGUGGAUCCAGUAAACCCCUUAUAGGAGCUACUUACCCCCUCACUGACUGUUGUGGAAAUAAGGUCUACACAUAUUUCCUAGUUAAGAGAAAAUGUCUAUUUACUCAUCUCACAAUAUAUUAUAGAGUUAAGCACACAUGUUUAAUCAAAAUGGCUGCUAGAAGCUUCUAGCCCCUCCACCCUCUCCUCCCCUCCCUUCAUAACAUCAACUAACUACCUCGUGCAACAAGAUGGCGCCGGGAAACCGUGGGAGACCCUCAUGGCCCCGGUGACAUCACCUAUAGUAGGCAGAGCAUUAGAACAACCACUUAACACCUAACCAAUUAUUGAUGUAUUAUUCCAUGUUAUCUCUGACAAUGCUUAUGAUGUAAUUUUGCUUUUAAAGGGACCUGCCGUCCCCUCUGAAUAAACAUUCCUCAAGUUAUUCAACAACCUGGAACCUGUGUCUGGUGUGAAUUACUUCAGGGAGCGUGCACGCAUUGUUUCAUUGAUUUGGCCAGGGGCAGAUACACAAAGAAAUAAUCAAUACUUUAAUUGAUUUUUCCCAUUUCAAUUGGCGCCCAACGUGGGGCCACCGGAGGGCCGGUUCGGAGGGCCGGAACCAACGGACCGGAGCGGACCCCUGGAAAGUGGGACAAGCGGAGCCUGAUCACCUCCAUAAUACAGCCGUUGCCUGUGUUAUUCUCCUGUUUUGUGUCGGUCUGUCUCCGAGUCCACUUCCGGCUUCCAGAAGGCUACUAGAGACAGGUAAUUAACUCAUCCGGUGUGCCUUUUUAAGGUGAACCUGUCAGUUGUCUAUCUGCCUCCUGUAUUCAUUUGCGUGUGUGUGUGUGUUUCUAAUUCCUUUGAUGAGUUAGCUUGACUGCCUAGCGGGCAGGGGACGCAUUACAGCCGGUGGGGCUGGGAUUUUACAGCCGGUGGGGCUGGUAUUUUAAGUUAGCUUGACUGCCUAGCGGGCAGGGGACACAUUACAGCCGGUGGGGCUGGGAUUUUACAGCCGGUGGGGCUGGGAUUUUACAGCCGGUGGGGCUGGGAUUUUACAGCCGGUGGGGCUGGGAUUUUGUUUGUUUAUUACUGUUAUUACUGUGCUCCCGUUAAUACCUGUGACAUACUGGGACCAGCCUGGUGGGUGAAGGCUGAGGAUUGCUAUACUUCAAUUAUUUGGCACCGGUGAUUUUAACAUGUACAUGGCCAUUCUACUUUCUGUCAUUCUGUGGUUUUUGUUUAAUUGUUGUUACAGCGUGGGUACCCUUGGUGUGUGUGUGUGUAUUGUGUGGUUAGUUCUGGAUUCCGGAGUUUAUGCUCAUUUAUACGUUUGUGAUUUUUGCAAAUGUCUUCUCAUUAGUGCAGCCACGUUCAUCUUCUCUUUUGUGCUUUAUCUCUCCUGUGCCUGUAACCCAGAGCUGUGUUAGUCACCCACGCUCAUUCGCUCCCGUCCGCGGCCACCACCCCGGGUGGGCGGACCUCCGUGACUAGUCUACGUUUGGGGAAGACGCACGGGGCUCAAGUUCUCGUGGCAGUCGAGCACUGUAGACACUCUUUUUCCCUUUUCCCUCAUACCUUCUCUAUUCAUCUGUCUUUAACGAGUGGCACGCUUUGAUUAGUCAAGAUGGGGCAGGAGCAUGCUAGACCUGCUAAGGGUUUGUUAGCUUGUGACAUUGUGAAAGAAAGGGCAGGGGAAGAUGCGAUGAUGAAACUUAAAAAGGUUGCUAAGGUGUGUGGCUUUCAGAUGUUACCCAGUGGGAGAUUGCAACCGGAGUUUUGGAGAAAACUACUCAUAGACAAGGAAGGUUUAUUGUUGGAUAACGGACUCACGAGGGUUGCAGAGGCUUGGUAUCGUGUAGCUAGAGGUUUGAAAAGGGAAGGAUGGGUCGAGGAAGAGUUGGAGUUUGAAGGGCAGAUCGUACAUGUUUAUCAUAGGAGCGUUCACAAUGAUGAUGUUGUUUCUAUUGUUCCACGGCCACCACCCUAUGAUGGCGCCCAAAGCGUGGCAGUAAAUUCCCGCCCUGCUUCACCCGUCACAGCACAGACUCCACCCCCCGGGGGUGUGCCUUCAGCCCCCACCCCUCUAUGUCCCGUACUUGGAGUAGAUGGAGCCUACUAUUUCCCAGUACCACAACACUCGUUCCCACCCACUCCCAUGCACCAGCCCUCCUGUGACCAGGUCCCCUCUUUCAACCAUCAUCCUGUCAUGUCCGUUGGAGCUCCCCCACCUCCAUGCCCUCCGUUACCUCUCUCAGUGCCUGUCCGUACUCCGAGUUCUGCCCCAACUACUCCCGCCCCGACUAUCGAAGGUCCAUCCUCCUCCCCCUCUCAGUCCCUCUCCACCCUGAGUACCCCGUCCCUAGUAAUCUCUGCUCCCUCACCCUCUCCGUCCGCCCUGUGCCCUACGACCCCCGUUCCCACCCACUCAACCGACCCCGACUCCCAGGACCCCUGUCCCCCAGUUGACCCUCCUACUCCGGUUGUAGCGGAGAUGCAAUAUUACCCAGGUUAUCUCCGCUUAUAAUCCAAGUGAGACUCAGGAACAAGUAAAUAGUAAAUCCAAAGGCAGGGUUUCCAGCAGGUAAAAUACAGCAAUAUCCCAACAGCAAUCCCAAUAACUGGAUGACACACAGUUUCAGGAGCAUAACUGACAAGCCUUUAAUCGCAGUCUCCUUAUAAAGCAUGCUCCCAUGCAAGGGAGGAACUUACAGUAAUUAUUACAGUAGCCAAUCCUGUCCUGGUAACCUCCCACACCUCCCCUCCCCUCAGCUAGCAUCAUAAUCCCCUUAGCCAGCACACCAAUUCCCCCCAUUUCUGGAUGUACCCCUAAACGUAGGGGUACCCCUUUAAAUCAUACAUCCCCGGGUAGCCCUGAUCUGGGUGAACAGCAUAUCCAAAAAUCACCCAGAUCGGACCAGGGGUUCGGGAAAAGUAUGGAGGGAAUAAAAUGACCGACCGCACGAACAGAGCUAGCCGAAUUCGGUUCCAUGUGAAUGGGCCUUGCGGUCGGUCCUGGCAUAAGGGAAUAAAAUACACGAAAGCCUCUAGCUAUAGAGGCUAGGGGGGGAUUCGCCUGAAUCCCCUCGUUCGGUAUUCUCUAUUUACCGAACGAGGGGCCGUUCGGUAGUUUGGAACCGAACGGACCAGGGCUGUGGAGGUCUCAGCGGUGUUCGCCUACUCGAGUGUCCGAUUUUAGUUCCAGACACUCGGCGGCAAAACACCGCUGUUCGGGAGUUUUAAAAUGGCCGCCGCCACGUGUUCGUUUGUCGAAUGGCGGCCACCCCCGAGAACAAAGGACGGCUACUUACUGUUCAAUUACCCGUUCGCAACAAUGUUGCAACGGGUAAUUGAGGACACACUUCACACAGGGAGGUCUGGUUGUUCGGUAGUUUCAUUCGAAUAAACUAAGGGAAUUAAACUACCGAACAAUCAGAGGAAUACAAUUCUUUUUAAAUACACAGAAAUUACAGCAGAUACACGUAUGCAGCUUUAUACAGUAUUUUUUGUAGGGUCGCCUGGUGCCAUCCGCUACACCGGUACCCUUAGGAAACCCUGUGAUCCCGACCCCUGUACUCCCAUUGUCCCCCACUCCUUCUCAUCCAAUCCCCUCCUCCUCCUUUCCCAAGGAUCCCCCGUCCCUACUCUCCGCUCUCCUGAAUCUUGUCCAGCCCGUUAAUCCCGGUUCCCUUGCCUCCGUCCCCUUACCCACAGAUGCCCCUUCCAUCCUCAAGGACACUCCUACUACCCCUCCUCCAGUGUUACCUCCUCCUGAAGUCCCAGCCCCCUCUACCUCGUUGCCUCCCACUCCCGCGGCCGAUUUGCCGUCCCUAAUCUCUGCCCUCACCGCCCUGACCCAACCCAUUGCCGCCACCCCUCCUACUCCUCCUCCAGUGUUACCUCCUCCUGAAGUCCCAGCCCCCUCUACCUCGUUGCCUCCCACUCCCGCGGCCGAUUUGCCAUCCCUAAUCUCUGCCCUCACCGCCCUAACCCAACCCCCCGUUGUUAUCCCUCCAGCCCCUUUUCCCGUGUUACCUCCUCCCGACAUCCCUGCCCCCCCCAACCUUGUCACAGCCCCUCGAUCCCGUCCCUCUGACCCCUUCCCCAGUGACCUCUGACGCACCCAUAACCAGUGAUCUGCCUAGUUCGAUAUCCGCCCUCUUCACUGCUGUUACCUCCCUGGUUACUUCCGCGAUCCCCGUGACGCCUCCUAUUGACGUACCUCCUCCUCCUCCCCCCGAGUCUCCGACCCCACCCUUGUCGCAUACCGAUACCUCCGAACCCUCCGAUCCAAUCUCUGCCCUCGCACAUGUUCUGAACACCCACCUUUCACGCCCAACCCAACCGACCCCCAUGACUGCCCCUUCCACAGCUUUGGUCCCUCGUGUCCCUUCCACCAGUCCUAGUUACCCAAUCAUGGUGGUUGGAUCUGAGGUGUCUGGGACAUCUGACCAGCCCUAUGCGAUGGGUGCCUCCCCCCAGGCCUCAGGGUUUCACCCAACUACCUCCCCCCUCACCACCCUUCCUGUUGUCCCCGCUACAGCCACCCCUGAGACUACUCUUCGCCGUGGCCCAGUGGUGCCCGAAGAGGUUGUUAUGGUUGACCAGAGUUCACCCCACCUAGGGGUGAAUAGGCCCCCUCCCCAGCACUCUAUCCCUCAGGGAUAUCCCCAGAUCACCCAUGGUGCGGAUGGUGCACCGCCUAUGUAUGUUACCUUCAACCCUUCCCAAGCUGCUACCCUCGUAACCUCACUCCCUGAUCCUGAAAAACACCCCAUGCCCUUCUUCCGCAGAAUGGCUCAGAUCCGUAAAACAUACUCCGCUGCCUGGAGAGAUCUUAUUAGUCUAUGUGAAAUAAAGGCUGGAGAUGCAUACUGGCCAAUCAUGGAACGGAGUUUUAAUGACGCUCCACUGACUUCUGAUACUGACUUUCGUUCUGGUGAAAUUUUUUGUGAACAGCUUCGUGCCUGGGCACAGGAUAAACUAGCAGAUCAGGCUACUUGCAUUAAUGACAUAUUACAGGACAAACUUGAGACAGUUGAAAAGUAUCACUCUAGGUUAACCCAGACCUUUUCAGACUUAGGGUUCAGUACUUACAACAAAGCACACACCCAGAUGCUUUCUGCAGCUUUUGUGGCAGGGCUUAGGGAACACAUUCGUAAGGGGUUAAUUUUAGCUCGGCCUGAGUAUAGAAUUAUUCCACUGGACACUCUUUUGUUGGUAGCCAAGGGCUUAGAAUCUGUAAUGCUCCCCACACAACGUAGAACCAACCCUCUGAUGUAUGCUGCCUCCGCCCCAAUUGUAGGUCCAAAUCAGGGACCACAGAUGCUCCCCCAACAGUAUACCCAGUCCCCCCAGACACUGCCUGCACCGAUUCCCUUCUCCCGAGACCGUGACCGGACUGUCACGACAAUCCGGACUUGUUUUAAUUGUAACCAGCCGGGUCACUUUAGAAGAGAUUGUCCACACCCUAGAGUGUACCGCCAACAGACCCUCCGGUACCAGAAUCCCCAUGUCAACAGCUACCACUUCCCCUCCACUGGUUAUCUCCCCGCCCUGCCCCAUCCGCAGUUGCCUCAGCUCCCUCCUCCGCCUCCUCCUCCACCGCCCCCUGAAUACUCCCAAGCCCAGCUCCCUGUAGCAGAAGCCCGUGCAUACACUUCGCCCUCCACUGAAGGGUAUGAUACUGAUGACUUCCAGGACAACCAGCCUCAUCCCCACCAUGCCCUCCGUCCAUCCCGUCCCCCCAUGCACACUGCUACCCCUCCUUCCACUUCCCGCCGGUACCAGGGCCCAGAUCAGGCUCACCUAGAUUUAUUGCAAUAGGUAACUGGCAAGCCUGUGUCACCAACCCCUGCCAUGGCAGUGUCUGCGGGGGAUGGGGGAGGACCUUUAGCUACUGUAGUUCUCCCCGUGGAGGGUCACCCAACCACCUUUUUAGUUGACACAGGUGCAGCCCGUAGUGUUCUUAGGGAACAAGACCUGCCUGACCCUUCUUUCCUUUCUGACACCGAUGUUUCAUGUGUUGGGGUGGAUGGCACACCACGCAGUAACCCACUUACCAAGCUCUUACAUGUAGGUUCACACAUCCUGUCCCGUUUUGUUGUUUCUUCCACUUGCCCCAUUAACCUCCUAGGUGCUGAUGUUCUCUCUCGGCUGCAGGCCUCUAUUACCGUUACUGCAGAUGGACAGGUUGAGUUAACAACCCCCUUAUCACAGAAAGAUACUUCUGUACUAUGUUCUCUCCCCAUCUUGUUGAAUCUAACAGACAAUUCAGGGAAUGCACGGGUCACACACACCCCCAGUGCUCUGGAUCGUAUCCCCCAAGAACUUUGGUCCACCAGACCGGAUGAUAUUGGACGCCUACAUGUACCCCCCGUCCUGGUCAAGCUCCUGCCUGGAGCCCUUCCUCCUCGAAGACCUCAGUAUCCUCUGAAGCCUGCACAAGCUGAAGCCAUCACCAAACAAGUUGAAUCUCUGCUUACCAAAGGUGCCCUCACCAAGUGCACUUCUCCAUGCAACACUUUUCCCUGUUAAAAAGCGCACUGUUAAGGGCCAACCCGACCAGUACCGCAUGGUACAAGACCUCCGUGCUGUUAAUGAAGUUACCAUAAAGGACACCGCCAUUGUUCCAAACCCCCAUACCCUUUUGUCCCAAGUGCCACCAACUUCAACAAUUUUUACUGUAGUGGACCUAUCUAAUGCCUUUUUCAGUGUCCCCCUUGACCCUUCCUGCCGUUUUCUUUUCGCCUUCACACAUGAAGGACAACAAUAUACCUGGACUGUAAUGCCUCAAGGGGCUCAGAACUCUCCCACACAGUUUGCUCACGCCAUGUCUCUAGUUUUGGAUCCCUGGCAGAAAUCCCAUCUGGAUGUUGUUCUACUUCAAUAUGUUGAUGACCUCCUUCUCUGUGCUCCUAAUUUGCUUAUUGCAGAGCGUGACUCAGAAGAUCUCCUAUGUUUUCUCGCUGCUGCAGGAUGCAAGGCCUCAAAAUCAAAGCUACAAUGGUGCCGGCCCUCGGUGGUCUUCUUGGGACAUUGCCUUUCCCAUGGCACCAAACACCUAACCUCGCAACGGGUGCAAGCUAUCCUGCAACUCCCAUUACCUGCAACACACCACUCUCUUCAUGCUUUCUUGGGUCUCAUCACAUACUGCAGAUCUUGGAUACCUGAAGCUUCCAAACUCAUGCAGCCACUCUAUGAUGCCCUCAGGAGUGAGCCCUUUCACCUCACUGAAGAAACUAUUAACUGUUUCCAUACUCUGAAGAGAGCUAUUGCUUCUGCACCUGCUUUGGGCCUACCCAACUACCAACUCUCUUUCAAUUUGUUUGUCUCUGAGAAAUCAGGACAUGCUUCCGGAGUCCUUACUCAGAAACAUGGGUCCAGACAACGGCCUAUUGGCUAUUUUUCCUGCAUGCUUGAUCCUGUUGCAAGAGGUAGCCCCUCUUGCCUCCGUGCUGUGUUUGCCGCCAGCGCUCUCCUGGAUAAGACUAAUGACUUUGUUCUAGGCCAUCACCUCACAGUGUUGGCCCCUCAUGACAUUACUGCUAUCCUCCAACAAGUUCAACCCAAACACCUUUCUUCCCAACGCCACCUCCGCCUCCAAACCUCCUUGCUUUUACCUGACAAUGUGAAACUCCAGAGAUGUCUUACCCUAAAUCCGGCCACUCUUCUGCCACUUCCCAAGGGGGGGAUUGUGCACCACUGGUAUAGCCUGGAUAUCAACCCAGAAGUUCUAGAAGAUCUACAACUACCUGCACUUGCACCUCCACAUGAUGAACAAUCAGUGGCCCUACUUCACUGUACUUUGUGGUUUAAGGAUGAACCAGGCUCUGAUAUGAACUAUGAACAAGAAGUAUUCCACCUCAAAGAAAUUCACAUUACCCUGACCGACUUGUUUUGGGACCACGCAGGUACCAUGCUCAUCUUAGUCCACCUCCCAGAGAGUGUGACACAUCUUUAUCACCAUUGGGAAACAUCUAUUCCACACAUUUCCUUCACCAGACCUCCUGACAUCUCAUGGAAAGACCUAGGUCCGAUAGCCAAAACCUGGAGUCAAAUGACCCAAGAACAACUGACUUCUACGGGGGUCAACAAAAGGAUUAUUAAUUACUGUACAGCUGGGUACCCCAGGUACCACACAGAAGCCUGCGAGGAUCCACUCAUCACAAACUGUGAUCUCGAUAUCCCUCAUGAUUGUUUUGAACAAAUGAAAAUGGAAACCACACACCUACCAACUGUCUAUGAAGCUGCAUUACUCAAUCCGGACCAAACACUAUUUGUGGAUGGGUCAAGAUUUGCCGAUGAACAGGGACAAUAUCACACUGGGUAUGCAGUCACUACAGAAUGCCAAGUAUUACAAGCAGCUGCCCUACAACCAACCAGGUCUGCUCAAGAAGCUGAAUUGACAGCCCUAACUGCGGCCUGCAAAUUGUCUGAAGGUUUACGUGUCAACAUUUACACGGAUUCAAGAUAUGCCCUGGGAGUGGCACAUGACUUUGGCUUAAUUUGGAAGACCAGAGGAUUUCUUACGGCCACAGUAAAGCAUGGGGCAGCCAUUGCAGAGCUGAUGGAUGCACUGGAACUUCCAGCAGAGGUGGCAGUACUGAAAGUAAAAGCUCAUGGAAGAUUAGACACAGAAGAAGUAACCACCUAGCUGAUCAAGCAGCUAAGGAAGCAGCACGGCAAAGAUGGGAAGUGGACAGAAGAGUGGCCACAGACACAUUACCUAUCUACACUAUGCAAACAUUACCUACAGACCUUAGGCUUCUGAAGGAACAGCAAGCUGCUGCCACUCUCCAGGAGAAACAAGGUUGGAAGAAUAAAGGUGCUGUACUCCGUGAUGAUGUCUACACUAUCAAUCUCAAGUUCUGCUUACCCAGAAGCAUGUACCCAGCGGUGGUACAAUGGGCCCAUGGGCCCGCUCACCUGUCAAAACUUCUGAUGAACUCACUGAUUGACAAAUACUUUGAAGCACCAGGCAUCACCACCCUAACACAGAAUUACUGUAAGUCUUGUACUAUAUGUGCUAAAUGCAAUCCUGGAAAGAUUAUAAAGACCGCACCUAACCACCUAGCCAAGCCACAGUAUCCCUUUCAGAGGAUCCAGAUUGAUCACAUUCAGAUGCCAAAGAGUGGACGUUAUGAAUAUGCAUUGGUCAUAGUGGACAUGUUUUCAGGAUGGCCAGAAGCCUUCCUGGUGACUAACCUCACCGCAAGGACUACAGCCAAGUAUCUUUUGACGGAAAUUGUUUGCCGCUAUGGAGUCCCAGAAGUGAUUGAAAGUGACCAGGGGACCUCCUUUACUGCCUCGCUAACACGGGAAGUCUGGUCAGCACUGGGGGUGACCCUUGCAUUCCACACACCAUAUCACCCACAGAGUAGUGGUAAGGUAGAGCGCAUGAAUGGCACCUUGAAAGCCAGAAUGCUUAAAAUGUCACAAGAAACUAACAUGCCCUGGCCCGAGAGUCUCCCACUGGCAUUGUUUAGUGUAAGGUACACACCUAGGGGAAAAUAUAGCCUAUCACCUUAUGAGAUUUUGUUUGGUACAGCACCCAGGUUAGGUUGUUACUUUCCUCAACAGCUUCAGAUUCAGUCAGAUGCUAUGGUAGACUAUGUGACCGCUCUCUCUCAUGCCCUGACCAAAAUACAUGCCCAAGUGUUUUCUUCUAUUCCAGAUCCUGAGUCGAAUACAGGUACACACAAGCUGCUUCCUGGUCACUGGGUUAUGGUCAAGAAGUUUCUCAGGAAACACACCCUAGAACCGAGAUUUGAUGGUCCUUAUCAAGUGCUCCUGAUCACAGCAACGUCAGUUAAACUAGCAGGAAAGAGUUCCUGGAUACACGCUUCACAUUGCAAAAAAGUGCCUGCCCCAGAAGAAGCUGUUCCUGCUGAAAUAUGAAUUUAUCAUGUGUCUUGUGUUUUCUUAUGUUGUUGCACUUUGCUUGGGCUCAACAAGUGGCCAUAACCAAAGAUAAUCAUGUAUACACUUUUUGGUACAAUUCUUCUGACACAGAUGUAGCCACGUACACCUUUGAUUACUGUGACAUAGUUACUUGUACAUUUCCACAAACACAAUAUGCCGCCAUAUACAAAGACAUACCUAAUAAAAAGGACCCAUACAUUUGUGUGACCGGGGGAGCUUGGGGACAUCAUUGUAGUUCAUGGAAAGCUGCCGGAUGGAAUACAGGUAGGCCAUGGGGCUACAGACCUCAGGUUGCACUGGACAGACUUGACAAAGACGGGAAGCCCCUACUUUCCAGGAUGACCCUGAGUAAACCCACAGGGUCAACCCCCAUUAAACUUACCCUGAAUAUAGAGCACCCUAGCCCAAGAGACGCGGGGGAAUAUGUGAUGGGGAUGUACUGGAAGGGGGGUGGCUCUCAUAAUGCAUUGGGGACAUUUUACCUACAAGAUAUGCUCACCUCCUCAGACUGGGUAGGGACCACUCACAUGAUAAUUAACCCAUUAAAACCACAUAUUAAGACUCUACAUGACAUGGUAGCCAUAGCCAACCCCACCUUUGAAGACACUAUGGUGGUAGAGACUGGGUUCUCAGAUACUAAUUUGUGGCUAGAAUGGAUGAGAUACAAUGCUAACUCACACAACAAGACUAAUUGCUAUGUAUGUGGAGGGGCUAGGCCCCAUCUGGGCACAGUUCCCCUGAGUCUACCUCCCGAGGUGGAAUUAUGUGUAUUGAGUCUCUAUGCACAAUCCACCACUAACUCCUCAACAUGUGAAUCAUGGAAGAAAAUCUACCCGAUCAGUCAUGGACAUGUAAAGCCACCUGAUGGAGUCACCAUCUACCCAGGUAACUACACAUGUUAUACAAUACCAAAGAACACUGGUUUAUAUCUGGGCAAAUUCCCAUCAGGAUACUGCUCGACUUAUCAUAACCCACCUACAUCACUGCUAAUGAAUCAUACAAAGACAAUCGGGGAUAUCUAUUGGUUAUGUGGUGAUAAACAAUUAAGGUCCCAAUUAGCUGGGCAAUGGUGGGGGGAGUGUGCCCUAACUAAAGUCAUAAUGCCUAACCAUAUUAUUCCAGAUGGUAGUCAUAACACAUUAGACCCCACACAUAUACACUCUAGAACCAAACGAGAGACUCCUAUCCGAGGGAGCUUUGACCCCCAUGUGUACAUCGACGCUAUAGGUGUGCCAAGGGGGGUGCCUAAUGAAUUCAAAGCAAGAGAUGAAGUGGCUGCAGGGUUUGAAUCCCUAAUUCCAAUGAUAACUGCCAACAAAAAUGUCAAUUGGAUUAACUACAUCUACUAUAACCAACAGCGCUUUGUCAAUUACACUAGGGAUGCCCUACAGGGCCUGGCAGAGCAACUACAAGCCACCACUCAAAUGACAUUUCAGAACAGAAUGGCCCUAGAUAUGAUUCUAGCUGAGAAAGGGGGUGUAUGUAAAAUCCUCCCUGAGACCAUGACAUGCUGUACAUACAUACCAGACAACACUGGGCCCAAUGGUAAAGUGACUAUGGCCAUAGAGAAGCUGGAUAGUCUUGCAGACGAGCAGAAGAAAAAUUCAGGAGUCACUGACACUUGGGACAAAUGGUUUGGAUGGAUGAAUGGUUGGCAGAGGACCCUCUUCCAGGUGGGGACAGCUGUUCUUAUAAUGACCAGCAUUUUCUUAUUUCUGACCUGUUGCGUACUCCCUUGCAUACAGAAGUACUUACAGAAAGCAGUAGAUAAGACUAUAGUUGACGUGACUCCUACUUUCCUACAUCAGGACGUCACAGACCUCGAAGAUGACACUCCACAUACACCCCUUCAAGCACAUCAGUUCAAACAGACAACUGCCUUCCUGUAGGGAUAGUAUAGGGAAAGCAUCUGUCUUGGCAGGUGAGUCUCACGUGUGGAGAUGUAGUGGAUUAGCCGCUGCGGGUUACCCACGGAGUGAAGCGUUCGAUGCUUGCCAAGAUGGAUGAAUUAUAGGUAAUUAGAAGCACAUCAUUAGGGAUAUAUUAGGGACAGUGGCAGUUGUUAUGGUACAUAGCCAUUUUAGGGGGGACUGUUGUGGAAAUAAGGUCUACACAUAUUUCCUAGUUAAGAGAAAAUGUCUAUUUACUCAUCUCACAAUAUAUUAUAGAGUUAAGCACACAUGUUUAAUCAAAAUGGCUGCUAGAAGCUUCUAGCCCCUCCACCCUCUCCUCCCCUCCCUUCAUAACAUCGACUAACUACCUCGUGCAACAAGAUGGCGCCGGGAAACCGUGGGAGACCCUCAUGGCCCCGGUGACAUCACCUAUAGUAGGCAGAGCAUUAGAACAACCACUUAACACCUAACCAAUAAUUGAUGUAUUAUUCCAUGUUAUCUCUGACAAUGCUUAUGAUGUAACUUUGCUUUAAAAGGGACCUGCCGUCCCCUCUGAAUAAACAUUCCUCAAGUUAUUCAACAACCUGGAACCUGUGUCUGGUGUGAAUUACUUCAGGGAGCGUGCACACAUUGUUUCAUUGAUUUGGCCAGGGGCAGAUACACAAAGAAAUAAUCAAUACUUUAAUUGAUUUUUCCCAUUUCACUGACAAUCACUGAGCUCCCAAACAUAGAAAAAGUUUGUUUUACGUGUGUUCAUUUAUGCUUCACUCCCCUUUGACUUACACAUAUAUCUUAUCUGAUUCAGGCCUCUGUUUAUUAUGAAUUCCAAGUGUUUCAUUGCUGUUAGAAAUAACUAUCCAAAUGAUAUAUCAAAAAAAUUCCUAUAGACUUUAAUGUUGACUUCUGUAGAUAUUUUUGUAGACGUUUUUCUAACAGUAUUAAAUCAUAUUGAGAGCUUAUUAAUUUGAGGCUUUAGUUAUUUGAUUUACCUAUACUUUGCAUUUUCAAUUAAAACAUAAAAAGAAAAAAAAAGCCAGAGCCUUUUCAGAUGAAAUAAAUAAAGGUGGAGGGGUAGGCGGCAUCACAGGUGAAAGAAACCUGAUUAUAAACUAUACAAGCAUAUAUACAAGAUACUACAUGAGAGAGAAUACAUAUAAGAUAAAAAAACAAAAAGAGUUCGAAACAUAGAUAAUGAAUAAUAAUCAGGAGUCCAAAAAGUAAGCCCGAAAGAGUCUAUGCCUGAUAGACACAGCAUAAAGUCCAAAUAAAACCUUGUAUAAGAAGUCAAUCACAAUCUUGUCAGGGGAAGUAUUCCUCAGUAAGGUAUGGGCAUGGGAUAUUCGUGAGAUCCGUAUGAAAAAAAUCAAAAUACAGCAAAUAAUGGUGCAGUAUAUCCCAACAGGUACUAAGUACUAUUUGGUAAGAGGUCUAUAUGGUCCUACUCACGUUUUCCAGAGCUAUAAGACUAGCUCUAGUGUGGAUGGCAUACAGUGGUACAAUCCCCACUUAUGGGAUACGUGAAGUUUUGUAGUAGAUGGAUAUCUUGUAGGUAUAAGGACCAUAUGAAAUAUAAAAGAAACAAUAAUAGUGCUUAUUGUAUAAAAGCCAGAGGUGAAAUAAUAAAAUACCAAGUGGUUACUCACAGUUUAUUGAGCAGCUGCUUCAUAUAAAAUUUUACCAAAGGUGUUCGGGAAACACUUUUUAAUACACCAACGUGCACACUUUAUAUUUGUAGAAGCACCAACACACUUUCAUUUCUUAUUCUCUGUCAUAAAUAUGAUCUCCUUACCUGUAUUCCUCGUGGUCUCCUGGUCCGGUGAUUCCCAACCUCUGCCAACUGUUGCUGGCGUCCGCGCAUCCUGUCUCGGCUCUAACACUGGCUUAAAACCGUAAGUCUGGCACCUACCAUAAAGCAACGGCCGUAAACCUUGCUAGCUUUCACGGUAUAGGCUCUGUUCAUUUGAAUCGGGCAUUCGGUUUCUUCUAUCAGCAUUUCUGGCACUCACGCCGUUCGGCUAAUUCUCGUAUACAUAUUUUCUAUGUACGCUUGUUUCACAGCAUUAAUUCACACGAACACGACCGUUCGUUCACAUACUACUGUAUAAACAUUCGGUAUUCGAACAGCACUUAGAGGACGCAUUCAUUCGUAUGAGUUAGGUUUUACACGCAUCCCUCUUUGUCUUUUGGCAGUUACAGCCAGACACAAGGCCGUGGCAAUGCUCAUAUCUCGCAAGAGGAACCCGGCGGAGCUACUGGCAAGAGCUCCGCCGGUCCUCUCCUGCCUCCCUCCCUGCAUGUGGGUCGGUGGGGAGGGAGGCUGAGAGCAGAGCCGGCGUUCGGAUAGCGCCGGCUCUGCAUGAGCAGACAGGGGAGAUCCUGAGAUCUCCCCUGCCGGUCUCAAUAUACAUAGGCAUGCCGCAGGGAUUAGGGUGUGCCCAGGCACACCCGGCACACCCCGUACGCACGCCUAUGUCUACUGCACAUAGCACCAAUUUCUGCCUGAAUACGGCUGAAACUGAACAGGGCCAAGCUGUCUUCAAUCUCCAAAGACCUACUAGAGGCUUAAAAGACAAACUGGGUAGAGAUAUCGUAUUCCUAGGCAAAUCCAAGAUUUGUAAUAAUUUUAAUGUGGGUAAUUGUGGUUUUAGCUCCUGUAGGCUGAUGCAUGUGUGUUCCCACUGUUUCAGGGCCCAUUCAAAGACAAUGUGCCCAAAUAAAGCUUUUCCCAAACCGUAUCACACGUGCGUGAACCUCACAUUAUUGGCUACACUGUUACAACAACAUCCAUCACACCAUUUCAUUGACUACAUUAUCACUGGACUAACUGAAGGAUUUCACACCGGGUUGGUACACUUACCUACCGGUACACUAGAAUGUGACAAUUUACAAUCCACAUUAGAUGAUCCACAGUUAGUACACACACUUAUCAUGUCCGAGGUGAAACAAGGGUUUUUGUUGGGUCCGUUCAUUUCUCCACCCUUCACAACCUGGAGAACCAGUUGUCACGGGGAAAACUUCACUGAAACCUAGACUGAUAAUUGAUCUAUCUGCUCCACAUUCCUCCACUAUCCCCAGCCUUAAUUCACUCAUACCUUCCGAACAAUUUUCGUUACACUGUGCCACUAUCGAUCAUGCCUUAGGGGCCAUUUUAAAGGCUGGCACAGGGGCAGGGUUAAGCAAAACUGAUGUGGUAAAUGCCUUGAAAUUGCUUCCCAUGCACCCUUCCCUGUGGCAUCUACACAGCAUUAAAUGGCAGGGGGUGUAUUAUUUCUUCACCCGUCUCACUUUUGGCUCCAAAAGCAGCCCAAGAAUUUUUGACAUGUUUGCAGAAUCUUUGUGUUGGUUGUUACUUAAUGCUCGAUUUCCUCAUGAUUGAGAAUAACACACUCCCCCCAAGUAGCUUGACACACAUGUUGGCUCUGUUUGAAUCCCUCACUAUCCAGUCUCAUAUCAAAUAAAAACGCUACUUAAAGGCUUUAAAAAUUACACACACACAUCCCCUCGCAAAGAUAACCCAUAGACAACAACAUUUUCCACUCACUAUCCAACUUAUUAGAUUCUUCUCCUUUUGAACGCAUAACUAAUACCAUAAUUAAAACAUCCCUAUAUUUAGCCUUUUAUGGGUUCCUCUGUCCAAACAAAUUUACGAUUAGGACCAUUACUGCCCCGGACUACCUGAGAAUGAUUGACUUACAAAGACACACCGACCAUUACGUUCUAUCCUUUAGACAAUCCAAAACCAGCACCGUAGGACAUACUAUUAAAAUUCCCUUGUAUCCUACUCAAAAUAAGUGGUGCCCGGUACAAGUCUUGGACACCUAUUUCCUUUCAGUCCAGAAACAACCACACCAACCCCUGCUGGAACUGCAUGGAUACACUCUUACAACAGCGAAAUUCAUGCUUUACGUUCGACUGCUGUUGACUAGGCUCAGCCUAAAUCCCAAUCAUUUUUCAGGUCACUCUUUUCGUAUAGGGGCAGCAUCUUCAGCAUCCGCUAAUCAUAUACCCGCUCAUAUUAUCAAGGCUUUGGGAUGCUGGAAAUCCUCCGCCGACACUCUCUACAUACCUAAUCCAGUUAAAGAAUUAAGACAAGCUUUCUGUGACUUAUCCACAUAAAUAAGUUGGUUACACAAAUUAUGUUUUAUGGUAUUUUCUUUUUGACCACUUUUAUUACAGGCCUAGUGCUUUGUCGGUUCCAGCACACCACAACCGACUGGUGCAAACUCAUUGAUGUUAUGGUUAUAAUAUGCUGGGAUUCUGUUUUACGGCUAUAUUGCCCCGACUACACAUUUGAAGGCUUGGCCUGUAGUUGUGGGAGGGGUUUGGAUCCCCUUUAAAAGGGCUGCCAAUCCUCUCUCACCUUACCGUUGCUGGUCUGACGAGUCACCCCUCCCACCACUCCCUCUAUUCAUAGCACCCUCUAAGGUGGGCCCACUUUUAUUACAGGCCUACUGCUUUGUCGGUUCCGGCACACCACAACCAACUGGUGCAAACUCAUUGAUGUUAUGGUUACAAUAUGCUAGGUUUCUGUUUUACGGCUAUAUUGCCCCGACUACAAAUAUAUAUAUAUGUAUAUAUAUAUAUUUAUAUUGAAGAACUUGGCUAUAUGGGUCUUCUGCAGGUUUACUUGAAGUCUUUUGAUCCCUAACAGAAGGAGUCUAUAUUUUCUAGGGCUAUUCAACCCUUUUGAGUUAAAAGAUAUUUCUUAGAGUCAUUAUUUUCCGUAAUUGGUCAGCGCUUAUGUAACUCCCAGUUUUGAGAGAUCUGGUGGAAGACAGGGCUGAGGUCUAUUGGGUCAUCUUAUUCCAGCUUGGUCUAUUUUUUAAAAUAGCACAUCUCUAGCUCACCCGUGUCCCGCAGUGGUCACCAGUCAGUGACUGAGCCUUACCGCGUCAGGUAGAAUGGACGCGUAAAUGGAAAAGUGCCAGAGCACUACCUGAUAGCGACUCCGAAUCUGAAUUCGGGUUUCAAGAUGAGGCUUUGAUGGACUCUGCCUCGGAGUCUGACGACAGUUUUGCUGCUGUCAAGUAUGUGGGCAAUUUCCCUAAUCCUAGCCCAGCCUCUUACCAGGCUCUAAAAGGCGAUUCUAAACCUGGGUCUUAUACGGAAGCUAUUUUAGAUCCCUUUGGAGAUCCUUUGACCCGGAAGAACUGCAUCAUCCCUGGUUGGCAGAGUAAGUUGCUAUCGACCAUAUAGUAUCUUACUUGCAGUUGAGGGUUAGGCUCCCCCUCUCUAAGGCUUCCCGGAAUGAGUUAUAGAGCCCUGUAUUACUAGCCCAGUGUGUAUUAUAGAGGUCUGUAUUACUAGCCCAGUGUGUAUUACAGAGCUCUGCAUUACUAGCCCAGUGUGUAUUAUAGAGCCCUCUAUUACUAGCCCAGUGUGUAUUAUAGAGCUCUGCAUUACUAGCCCAAUGUUUAUUACAGAGCUCUGAAUUACUAACCCAGUGUGUAUAAUAGAGCCAUGUAUUACUAGCCCAGUGUUUAUUAUAGAGCUCUGCAUUACUAGCCCAGUGUUUAUUACAGAGCUCUGAAUUACUGUGUAUUAUAGAGCCCUGAAUUACUAACCCAGUGUGUAUAAUAGAGCCAUGUAUUACUAGCCCAGUGUUUAUUAUAGAGUUCUGCAUUACUAGCCCAGUGUUUAUUACAGAGCUCUGAAUUACUGUGUAUUAUAGAGCCCUGCAUUACUAGCCCAGUGUGUAUUAUAGAGCUCUGUAUUACUAGCCCAGUGUGUAUUAUAGAGCUCUGUAUUAGUAGCCCAGUGUGUAUUAUAGAGCUCUGUAUUAGUAGCCCAGUGUGUAUUAUAGAGCUCUGUAUUACUAGCCCAGUGUGUAUUAUAGAGCCUGUAUUACUAGCCCAGUGUGUGUUAUGGAGCCCUGUAUUACUAGCCCAGUGUGUAUUAUGGAGCCCUGUAUUAGUAGCCCAGUGUGUAUUAUAGAGCUCUGUAUUAGUAGCCCAGUGUGUAUUAUAGAGCUCUGUAUUACUAGCCCAGUGUGUAUUAUAGAGCCUGUAUUACUAGCCCAGUGUGUGUUAUGGAGCCCUGUAUUACUAGCCCAGUGUGUAUUAUGGAGCCCUGUAUUAGUAGCCCAGUGUGUAUUAUAGAGCUCUGUAUUAGUAGCCCAGUGUGUAUUAUAGAGCUCUGUAUUACUAGCCCAGUGUGUAUUAUAGAGCCUGUAUUACUAGCCCAGUGUGUGUUAUGGAGCCCUGUAUUAGUAGCCAAGUGUGUAUUAUAGAACCCUGCAUUACUAGCCCAGUGUGUAUUAUAGAACCCUGCAUUACUAGCCCAGUGUGUAUUAUAGAGCCCAGUCUAUACAGUGUGUGUCUAAAGAGUGACAAGCAGUUUGUAAUUGGGUGCAGUGUAUCGAGCUGCCUGUAGAUGUCACUCGUAGCAGAGCAUGACGUCAGAGUGAAUGUAGCUUCUUGUCUCAGUGAGGAGCGUUGAGCCAGAGCCGGGUGCAGUGGCGUGCGCCUGUAAUCCUGCUACUGGGAGGCUGAGGCUAGCGGAUCGUUUGAGUCCAGGAGUUCUGGUCUAUCCUGCGCUAUGUCGAUCGGGUGUCCGCACUAAGUUUGGUAUCAAUAUGGUGGGGCCGAGGGAGCUCAGCCUCACCAGGUUGUCUAAGGAGGGGUGACCCGGCCCAGGUCGGAAACGGAGCAGGUCAAAACCCCCGUGCCGAUCAGUAGUGGGAUCGCGCCCGUGAAUAGCCGGGGUAGGGCAGCCUGGCCAACACAGCGAGACGCAGUC